UGUUUGUUCAAAAGUGGUAAAAACUUAAAUGCACCUUAUCUCUCCCUUCCAAUGCUCCAUUUCGGUUUCUCCACCAAGACAACCCUUCAAAACCUUUUCUUCAUCAUACAUUGACGUGAAUACACCCCAAGGAACCAAGCAUCAACUUCAAAACAAGUCAUGAACAAUAAACUCAAACAUAUGCUACUUCAACCCAACUAAAUCUUCCAUUUCUUCAAGUUUCUUUGCAAAAAUGAAAAUAAAUCCUAAGCCAUCAAUUCCAGCUCUGUCCAGCCACAAUAACAACCCCAAGAUCUGGUCCCAUCCUUGCUUCAAACAUCAAAACCGAAAAUCAAGAAGAAAGAGCCCAAACUACUACACUCACACAUCAAGUUAAGCUCUUUUCAACCCAAAACUCACAUGGAACUCCAUUUUUAUCAUCCAACCAAAUAAAAUGCAAAGAAAAACGUGAGGAACAACAGCAAAGGGAGAGGAAAACGAAAUAUAAAGUUACUCAAACCCAACAUCCACCAUGGAAAUGCAAAGACAAGCUCCAAAGCUCAAGCUCCAAGCAUAAAAAACAUAAGCAAAUGGAAGAAGGAAUGAAUGGAUUUUCACCACCAAUGAGUUAAGACAACCAAGAGUAAGUCAAGGGAAGAAGAAAAUCUGCAUCAUAUCAUUGAAAGUGGCUCAAAACCGUAGCACCAAACAAGCACCAUGAGAGCAUGUUCAAAACAAGAGAAACCCUAGAAGAAAGAAGCAAAAACCAUGAGCUAUGGGUCUCUCUUUUGUGUGGCUCGGUUUUCACACCCCAAAUACCAAGAGUUUCACAUUUGGUGGGGUCCACACACUACAAGUCAGCCCUAAAGAGAUGCCACAUGGCCCCCACAAUUGGUUUUUUACAAAAAUGCCCCUAAAAGGGUCCAAAACACCUAAUUCUAAUCAAAGGCUUCUAGAAAACGAAAUUACAACUUUAAUUAAAAUCUAAAUGACUAAAUAUUGAGUCUUGAAUGUGCCACGCCAUAUCCUAAUGCUCCAGAUGAUAUUUCCACAAUUUCCCUGUAACCAAAAAUACGCUUAAUCAGCUCAAAAUAUCCAAAUUAGCGCAAAUACGAAUUUCUGACCAAAUUAAGCAGAAUNCGGAAAACGGAGAAAUAACAGACAAUUAAACACAAUUCCCUGGUUUAUUUAAGUGCAAUAAACUAAAUAUGGUUCAAGAAAUAACGACUCAUCA
rnacentral:lncRNA from 1 species